rnacentral:rRNA from 1 species
GACGAACGCUGGCGGCGUGCUUAACACAUGCAAGUCGAACGGAAAGGCCCUGCUUUUGUGGGGUGCUCGAGUGGCGAACGGGUGAGUAACACGUGAGUAACCUGCCCUUGACUUUGGGAUAACUUCAGGAAACUGGGGCUAAUACCGGAUAGGAGCUCCUGCUGCAUGGUGGGGGUUGGAAAGUUUCGGCGGUUGGGGAUGGACUCGCGGCUUAUCAGCUUGUUGGUGGGGUAGUGGCUUACCAAGGCUUUGACGGGUAGCCGGCCUGAGAGGGUGACCGGCCACAUUGGGACUGAGAUACGGCCCAGACUCCUACGGGAGGCAGCAGUGGGGAAUAUUGCACAAUGGGCGGAAGCCUGAUGCAGCAACGCCGCGUGCGGGAUGACGGCCUUCGGGUUGUAAGCCGCUUUCGCCUGUGACGAAGCGUGAGUGACGGUAAUGGGUAAAGAAGCACCGGCUAACUACGUGCCAGCAGCCGCGGUGAUACGUAGGGUGCGAGCGUUGUCCGGAUUUAUUGGGCGUAAAGGGCUCGUAGGUGGUUGAUCGCGUCGGAAGUGUAAUCUUGGGGCUUAACCCUGAGCGUGCUUUCGAUACGGGUUGACUUGAGGAAGGUAGGGGAGAAUGGAAUUCCUGGUGGAGCGGUGGAAUGCGCAGAUAUCAGGAGGAACACCAGUGGCGAAGGCGGUUCUCUGGGCCUUUCCUGACGCUGAGGAGCGAAAGCGUGGGGAGCGAACAGGCUUAGAUACCCUGGUAGUCCACGCUGUAAACGGUGGGUACUAGGUGUGGGGUCCAUUCCACGGGUUCCGUGCCGUAGCUAACGCUUUAAGUACCCCGCCUGGGGAGUACGGCCGCAAGGCUAAAACUCAAAGGAAUUGACGGGGCCCCGCACAAGCGGCGGAGCAUGCGGAUUAAUUCGAUGCAACGCGUAGAACCUUACCUGGGUUUGACAUGGAUCGGGAGCGCUCAGAGAUGGGUGUGCCUCUUUUGGGGUCGGUUCACAGGUGGUGCAUGGCUGUCGUCAGCUCGUGUCGUGAGAUGUUGGGUUAAGUCCCGCAACGAGCGCAACCCUUGUUCACUGUUGCCAGCACGUUAUGGUGGGGACUCAGUGGAGACCGCCGGGGUCAACUCGGAGGAAGGUGGGGAUGACGUCAAGUCAUCAUGCCCCUUAUGUCCAGGGCUUCACGCAUGCUACAAUGGCUGGUACAGAGAGUGGCGAGCCUGUGAGGGUGAGCGAAUCUCGGAAAGCCGGUCUCAGUUCGGGUUGGGGUCUGCAACUCGACCUCAUGAAGUCGGAGUCGCUAGUAAUCGCAGAUCAGCAACGCUGCGGUGAAUACGUUCCCGGGGCU